UACAGAGGGGGCAAGCGUUGUUCGGAAUUACUGGGCGUAAAGGGCGCGUAGGCGGCCUUCUAAGUCGAACGUGAAAUCCCCGGGCUCAACCCGGGAACUGCGUCCGAUACUGGAAGGCUUGAAUCCGGGAGAGGGGUGCGGAAUUCCAGGUGUAGCGGUGAAAUGCGUAGAUAUCUGGAGGAACACCGGUGGCGAAGGCGGCAUCCUGGACCGGUAUUGACGCUGAGGCGCGAAAGCCAGGGGAGCAAACGGG
rnacentral:rRNA from 1 species